AUUGAACGCUGGCGGCAUGCCUUACACAUGCAAGUCGAACGGCAGCACGGGUGCUUGCACCUGGUGGCGAGUGGCGAACGGGUGAGUAAUACAUCGGAACAUGUCCUGUAGUGGGGGAUAGCCCGGCGAAAGCCGGAUUAUUACCGCAUACGAUCUACGGAUGAAAGCGGGGGACCUUCGGGCCUCGCGCUAUAGGGUUGGCCGAUGGCUGAUUAGCUAGUUGGUGGGGUAAAGGCCUACCAAGGCGACGAUCAGUAGCUGGUCUGAGAGGACGACCAGCCACACUGGGACUGAGACACGGCCCAGACUCCUACGGGAGGCAGCAGUGGGGAAUUUUGGACAAUGGGCGAAAGCCUGAUCCAGCAAUGCCGCGUGUGUGAAGAAGGCCUUCGGGUUGUAAAGCACUUUUGUCCGGAAAGAAAUCCUUGGCCCUAAUACGGUCGGGGGAUGACGGUACCGGAAGAAUAAGCACCGGCUAACUACGUG
rnacentral:rRNA from 1 species